rnacentral:lncRNA from 1 species
UUUCUGAUUUUCUUUAAUCAAUUAUUAUGCAGUUUUGUUUUCGCUUUAUUUAUUCAAAGUUGAUCAUUAUUUUUUAUCAGUUGUAUCUGACGAGAAAGCAGCUCUCUAAAUUUGGUUUAUAUCAAUUUUCUUAAUGUCAAGCGGUGAUCACAUUUUGGAAUUGACAUUCUUUAAAUAUAGUUAAACAUUGAAAUAUACUAUAUAAGUAUACAAAUCUGCUCACUUUUUGUCAUUUUAGUUCACAUAUAUACAUUAAUGUGAGCAAUUGUCAUUUUACGAUGACUUCUUUAUCCUAAAAUAAACUUCUUUUAAGAAAGGUAAUCUCAGUUGUGAAAUUGAAAGAAUUUAUUAGUAUGAUAAAGAAGACAAAUCUUGUCUAUUUGUAAACAAUUUUCAUACAUGUACAUAUGAAACUAAAUGCUUACAUGUAAUGUUGGCAACAAUCAGUUAUUUAUCACAUAAUUUUAAAUACUAAUAUUUCUGAAGCUUUCUUUAAUUUUCUCUUUUACAGCAGUAAAAGGAGUUUUCAUAGUUGAGUUUCACCUUUGCAUGUUUUCCAUAUGACUUCCUGUCUUCUGUUAUCAUUAAAAGGAUCACAUGGUAGUUAUUUCGUUUUGUAGGUAUCAGCUGAUUUGAUGUAAAAAGCAAACUAUGUCCUCUUUACAUGUUUUCAAUUUAAGCUCAAAAAGUUUGCACAUUAAAAUAGUUAAAAUACCAAUAUGUGAACAUCAUUCAUGCUAAUGGUCUUUAUUCCUUAUAUACUCUUUGCAAUAGAUGUUUUGACAUUUAUGUAGGAAUGCAAAGCUGAAAAGUAUGCAAGAAUUUUAAACUAUGGAUAAGAAAUCAGUUAUAUGAAGGUGAUUUGUAACAAAUCUUCUGUCCAUGACAUUGAUUUCAAUAAUUUUGAUGUUAUGGUGGUAACCAUUGCUUUCAUGAAAUUAUAACACAUUUGUGACUUGUUUGAUACUUAUUAAUAUAUUUAUCAAGUAUUGAAAUUUGUAGGCAUAAUAGAUAUUACACCAUUAAGAAUAUAAGACCAGAAGGUUGAAGGUAACUUUAUUACUGAAAAUUCAGAAAUUAGUGUGUACAAUUAUUAUUUGAUUUUUGGAGAAAAGACGAAAAUGGGAGAUAAAUUAUUGUGGUUUCUCUAAAAUCUGCAUACAGUUUUAUGUAUCAGAAUUGGAGUUCUAAUUAUUGCAAUACUCAACCAGUCACGUUUUCUGCAUAACCAAAUUUUAACUCUUAAUGAUUUCUGAAUUAAAAGUAUUAUUGUACUUAAUUCCCAAAAAGAUAUACUAUUUGUACCCUAAGAGUGCAUGGUCAUGAUUUACCUUGUAGGAUAAAUAUUUACUUUAUUCAAAUUUCAAUUGCUGCUGAUCAUGCCAACAAGCUGCUUCUACUAAAACAUUUUCAUAAUUUUGUUCACACAUCAAAACAUUCAUUUGCAUAUUAUAAUGAUCAUUAUGUCUCUCAUUUUUAUUUUUACAUGAAUUGCUGUGCACUUCUGAAUGAUGAACAUGGUAUAUUUGUUAAUUUUGUUAUUUUAAGUUAUAUUCACAAUAAAUGAAAAAUACCACCAAGAUCUGCAAACCCAAAACCAUUUGUAAAAAGAUAUAUCUUCAAGAUUUAUAUGUCGUAUUUAACUACAUAUUUGUUAAUUAAAUAUAAUAAUUUUUAUGUCAGAUCACUAAAGUAUUAUGUUGACAUUAUGAUACUUCCAUGGUCAGAAUAUUGUAUAUUUUAAACCACCUUGUUAUGUGUGAU